rnacentral:rRNA from 1 species
CCUACGGGAGGCAGCAGUGGGGGAUAUUGCACAAUGGGGGAAACCCUGAUGCAGCGACGCAGCGUGGGUGAAGAAGCGCCUAGGCGCGUAAAGCCCUGUCAGCAGGGAAGAAAAUGACGGUACCUGAAGAAGAAGCCCCGGCUAACUACGUGCCAGCAGCCGCGGUAAUACGUAGGGGGCAAGCGUUAUCCGGAUUUACUGGGUGUAAAGGGGGCGCAGACGGCGAUGCAAGCCAGGAGUGAAAGCCCGGGGCCCAACCCCGGGACUGCUCUUGGAACUGCGUGGCUAGAGUGCAGGAGGGGCAGGCGGAAUUCGUGGUGUAGCGGUGAAAUGCGUAGAUAUCAGGAGGAACACCGGUGGCGAAGGCGGCCUGCUGGACUGCAACUGACGUUGAGGCCCGAAAGCGUGGGGAGCAAACAGGAUUAGAUACCCCGGUAGUC